rnacentral:rRNA from 1 species
ACGGAGGGUGCAAGCGUUAAUCGGAAUCACUGGGCGUAAAGAGCGUGUAGGCGGUUUGAUAAGUUUGAAGUGAAAGCCUACAGCUUAACCAUGGAACUGCAUUGGAAACUGCCAGACUUGAGUGUCGGAGAGGGAGGUGGAAUUCCUGGUGUAGGGGUGAAAUCCGUAGAGAUCAGGAGGAACACCAGUGGCGAAGGCGGCCACCUGGACGAAAACUGACGCUGAGGAGCGAAAGCGUGGGGAGCAAACAG